rnacentral:lncRNA from 1 species
AUCCAUUCUCCUCAUCCAUAUAAGUCUCCACCACCACCUUCUCCAUCUCCACCUCCACCUUAUUACACUACAUCACCACCACUACCAAUCAUUUCUCCUCCACCGCCAUAUUAUCACAAAUCUCCACCACCGCCUUCUCCAUCUGCACCGCCUCCAUCUCCAUCUUCAUUGCCGUCACCUUCGAUUACACCUAUCGCUGAACCAUUUCCAUCUCCGAUGGUGCCACCACCAUUGACUACACCUAUUUCUGAACCAUCUCCAUCUCCAUCUCCAUCUCCAUCUCCAUCUCCAUCUCCAUCUCCAUCUCCAUCCCUGCUAGCACCGUCGAUUACACCUAUCGCUGAACCAUUCCCAUCUCCAUUUCCGCUAGCACCAUCGACAACCCCUAUUGUUGAACCCUUUCCAUCUCCAUUGCCGCCAAUUGCUGAACCAUUUCCGUCACUAUCGCCUUCACCAUCACCAAUUACACCUAUCGCUGAACCAUUCCCAUCUCCAUUUUCUCUAGCACCAUCGACAACCCCUAUUGUUGAACCCUUUCCAUCUCCAUUGCCACCAAUUGCUGAACCAUUUCCAUCACUAUCGCCUCUACCAUCACCAAUUACACCUAUCGCUGAACCAUUCCCAUCUCCAUUUCCGCUAGCACCAUCGACAACCCCUAUUGUUGAACCCUUUCCAUCUCCAUUGCCACCAAUUGCUGGACCAUUUCCAUCGCUAUCGC